UACAGCUUCAGCGUGCCCGCGAUGGCGUUCACGUCCAUCUCGCUCAUCAUCACCGACACAUCCUUGUUAUCUGGGAAGAGCACGGAAAUGCAGCAGCCUCCUUGAGGAUCCCGAUAAAUGAAGAAAAGGCACAGAGAAGGAUGUGACAUGCCCUGGCCAUGGAGCGCUCUGAGAUCUCAUCGUGGACACCGCCGCCCACACCUCCACCCCAUCCUGCGGAGGCCGACACUCACUGACGUCGAAAGCUGCCUUCAGUGCCUGGAUGUCCGUGGCCACUCUGGACACCCGAUAGAUGCCCACCUCCUCCGUGCCGCGGCGCUCCAUCUCCUCCACACACUGGCACAUGAUGUAGGGCACCUUGGACCUCUCUCUCCUGCAGGAGGAGGGAAUGUUCUCAGUGUCCUGACAGCCCUGCUUGGGCCACAGCACAGGAGACCUGCCCCCUAUCUGCACACCCGGAGGUGGGGUGAGGACGGUGACGAAGGUGUCCAGGUCUGGGGCUGCACACAGAGCCUUGUGCAUGCCUGUCCUCCCUCUUCAAGCUCGGUCCUCAUUGCAAGUACUUUCUCAGGACUUUUCUAAGAGGCUGAAGCAGCCAGACCCUCUGCAAGUCACACAUGAUCUUUGUGGGAUGGUCAGGAGGCCUAAGUCAAGUCAGCACAGCAAGGGCCUCGGAAAGAUUCCAGAUCUGGGGUUAGCAACCUGUGCUCCCAGCUGGGAGAUCAGGCCGGGUGUUGGUCCUGCCAUCCACGUGCUGUGUGAGAGGAGAAUCCCCUGACCCCUGCCCCGGGCCCAGGCCUAAAUAAACAUCCCAUGAAUAAAGGGUUGCCUCAGCACCAGUGCCCCA